UUAACUAGUUUUUUUUCUUGUAAUUUGAUACAAAGGCAGUAUAAUACCAAAUAUAAUCUUAUAAAUGUACAUUAAUUUAAAAAAUAUAAAUACAUAUGAAAAACUUUCAAGGAUUAACGAUGCUGAUGACCGUGAUAGUAUGGGCGUGGUUUAAGAGAGCACACCACGUGCGUUUUCAAACAGCGUGACUAACGGACGGACGACUUCAGAGCUACUUCGACUUCCAGUGGCAAUUUUACAAAAUAUAUCCCUCAUGGAGUCUGACCGGGACUGGUAUCUCCCGACAUUAUCUGAAGCUUAGGUCCACUAAGAUGUCCCGUUGAUUGAAGCUGACAUGGAGUCACAGUGACAUCCUUAAAAACUUUUGUCAUGUAUAAUACAUCUCUGCAUCUUAAAAUAUUUCUCUGCAUCUUUAAAUAUUUUUUUUUUUUAUUUUUUGUCUAUGUUUUAGAUUUAAGUGUUUAAGCUGUUUUCAUGAAAAAAUAU